GCCCGGACCGUCGUGUGCACCCACCGCGGCCGACAGCGCCCCGGCCCCUCCACCGCCGGCGGCGGCUCUUCCACCUUGCGCGGAGUGGAGUUUUGCAAAGUGCCGGUUUCUCUCUCUGCGGGUGUGAGAGCGAGAGCUUUCGGACAGCGCCUGGGGCCUGCGCCCGGGGAAGGACUAAAGGAAGGAAGGCAUGCUUCGGGACCAGGGAGAGAGGACACGGAGAGGAAGCCUAGCUGUGUGUCAGGCAAGAUUAACACCCCAACCCUGGUAGUCUACUAUCAUGGCAUUCUUCUUAGCAACCCUUCUGCCCACCUCAAAGGAGACUCAAGGAGGUAAAGAGACAGCAGCCUGGACCUGCCUUAACUGAAGGCCCUUUUUUCAGCCAGCCAGCUGGAAACAGGAGGUAGAGAGAACUGAGUCAAAGAACCAUGUCCCGAGGCGGGAGGAUGGAUAUCAAAGAGAAGCAGCAAACACAUCACAUGCACUCACCGACUCCCAAGCAGCAUCAGAGGAGAGAAAAGUUCA